GUGACGCGAGGGGCUGCUACGUGUCUUUUCUCUUGGUUUGAAAAAUACGGGCAUCUGCCGGUAGCUGGUAUAUCCAAGCUUUUUCAAAGGCUGCGCUGUCACCGGGACGAGACUUAGUAUCGAGCAAAUAGUAUGCCUGGCUACCUUGAGGACGGGCAGCAGAAGCGAUGAAGUGGCUCAGGGGAGCCUAAGUCCACAAAGAGUGCAAACAGGAUGAGUAAUUCAUAAUUUGGAACAGGACGACAAAGUAUGCAGCCGUGGCUCUAGACGAAGUUAGCGAAGGGGCAGCUUCCGUUCCCGACCGGCUCACCCGAUUAGCUCGCACCGAAUCAGCGGGUGUGCACCGACUUCCUACUAUGCGCUCAGCAGUAUUCGAGGCAUGUAGGGAAGAGAGGAAAUCAAUGCACACAUCACAAGAAAAAAAAAAAGACCACGGCGGGAAUACAUUUACAUUUGGUAAACAGCACAAAGAAACCACAUUGAGGCAGUCUGUUACUCUACUUUGCUGAACACAAUGCCCCCCACAGCCUCGCGGAGAGAGUAGGCACUCCACAACCACUCCCCACAUGCCUGAGGGUGCCAGUCAGUCACUUGGCCUCCUCCUACCAGCUCAUAAUCAACAGUCUGGGAAAGUUCUCUGGUGAGCAGGGCUUACCUGCUAACACAGAGGGUGCGACAGGAAAAGGAAUGGAAUGGGGAACCUCAAGAGAGCCUAGAAAAAGAGGUUCCCGGCAAGGAGAGAAAACAGCCGGCAAGUGAGGGCCAGACCCUGAGAUACAGACCAUGCUCUGGUUUCCAAAGACCUCAGUCCCAUGCAGAGCCAGUUGCAAAACCCAGCGAGGAAACAGAAAUUCACCAUCCCUCCCCCUCAACUCAUUUCACCCCCAGAAGCAAUCAAUCCGUCAGUAACGAAAGGGUCAACCAGCACAGAGAAAAACUCGGGGCCACAAUUGCUCGUGGAGCUCCUGACUGCCCAGGUGACAGAGAGCAAGGGGGGGGGGGGGGGGAGGUGACACAAGAGAAAAACGUAGGACAAUGAAACGAGGGAAGAUUUUUCAGGGAAGGAUGUGAACACGCGAGAGAACAUAACGGCGGUUCUAUCGGGCUGCGGAGAAAGAAGGGCGCGACAGGAAAACAUAAAGUGUGUAAUAAGGGAAAAGGAUGCAAAAAAAAAAAAAAAAAAAAAAGCGCUGCAGCCCCAGGGGAGAAGAGCUCCUUUUUCGACUCGAGUUUUUCUGGCCUAGUAAACUUCUCCGCCAACGAGGGUGUGCCAGGCAGGGGACUCUCCACACAGCAGCCAGCAGUCAGCAAGGGACGCCGGACACGGUGACAGAAAGGGGAGGGGUGGAAAGCGGACGCCUCUCAGCUCACAGGCACUCAUCCUGGCCAGACGUAUGGAGAGCGUGCCGCUGUCUUGUCCCCAGCUGUGACUUCAGAAGGCUGUGGUUGUAAACACCCAGCAACACAGCCACGUGGAUUUAAAAGCACAUUGGCAUAAAUGUAAACACAGUCACAAGAUUGGAAGGGUGGGAAAUCACCUGCAAUAAUUCACAUUGGUGUUUCAAAGCCCGAUUUUCAACACUACCGUUACCCCCUGUGAAGUCCGACAGAAGUUUUACCGAUUUGCAGAAACAGUGGUGGAGAUGCCGUGGGGGAUUCUGUGGCCCACCUGACCUCAUGCAUCGGGGAAGCCACCUGGGACACAAGAUGUUCUGAACCGCUGCCCGCUGCCUUUUUUCUACAACGUGCCAUGCCACACCCGUGCCUUCUAAUCCCUCCCAACCGGGCAUUCCUCUCCCAAGCCUGUCAAAGAAAAGGACCGCAUCCCAGGAAGCAACCACGCUGUGAGAUCGCUCACGCCUGGUCCACGCGUGGGGUGACACCAGCUCGGAGGAGCACACAGCAUAUACCCAGGUCCUUCCUGGCUGGUCUCAAAAGCUGGCUGGGUCAGUGGUAUAGGGGAACAAGGCCUCUAGAGUCCUAUCUAUGCCCUACCUCUCCCCCAAUGCACAGUAUUUAUCAGGAGCAGAAAAGUAGUCUCUGUACAGAGGAUAGACUGUCCCGUUCCUCCAUUUGCCUCUGGAUUCUAAAUGUGGCAGUGGGGUUUGGGGUCUGAGACAGAGCUCCCCAAGCUCCUUUUCAGAGCCCAUGUCACCCAAGGGGAGAAAAACACCCCACAUGGAUUUGGCCUGUGAUGCUGGUUUAGGAGGAUAAGGAAUCUGGUGAAGAAACCCCAAAUGGACCACCUCUUGGUCCAGGGAAUGGGGAAACCAGGCAGAGGAGGGAGUUUAAUUAAGUCAACGAGAGGGCAGUUUGGAGCAUCAUGGGGCAGGGGAGGGGAGGCAUCUCUCUCCGCUGCGGGCACAACCAUUUCACUUUAGAAAGGUCAGGUUAUGUCUCAGCUCCUAAGGUGUAAGUGCCACUGAGCCCCUCCCCGCACCUCCAUAGGCUCUCUUAGAGGCUUACUGAGUGAGUCAGAAGGUACAAAAUGUUAAAGGUGUUUCUGACCCCAUCUCAAGGGCGGGGGGGAGGGGCAAGGUGUCCCUCUGACUGGCACCAAGUCAGCCCUCCAGCCACCAAA